ensembl:lncRNA
GAAAUUCUGUAGUUCGUCUUAGAUGAAUUGAACAAUGCAGUGGUGGGAAAUAAAAGAAACCAACCAGAACCCAGAACUACUUCUGCAGACGUGACUUACAGAAAGCUGUGUGAUAACAGUGUGGCAAGGACUGGUGUCUAAAGGAAGGCAAAAAUAUAAGGGGUUUAAGGGGUUACAUAAAAGCAAUCAAAGAUUAAUAAGCAAUCUUAAUCAUAAUCAAGGUUUUUGUUAGUUAGAAAUGUCCUUCUGUUAAACAAAAACAACAGUUUAUCAGAAAUGUUGUUAAAGAUAAUUGAUGAUUAGUGAAACAAUAAUUGGGAAUUAUGAUUAUUAUCAAAAUAACCACACUGAUAUUCAGAGGCCUGAUUCAGUUUUACAGUGGCACAUUGUGAGCUCUAAUCCAACUUUAUCAUGUUAAAGGAUCAUUAAAAAAAAAAACCAAUUUUGUGUGCUGAAUGAAGAAGCAUGAAAAUCAUUUAGCUGGACUUUUGUAGUGUAACUCUUUCUGGAUUUGACCAUUAUGCCAACAUUUCUGAAAAAAAAAAAGUGUUCUGGUUCUAGGAAGCGAAGGCCAUUCCACAAAAAUUCUAAUAAAAAAAAAGAAAAAGAAAGAAAAUUCAUUGAAUGGAGUGAGCUACUCUCUUCGCAGAAUAACGCAAAUUAACUCUAAACAGGCAAGCAGUUUUCACACAUGUACAGAGGCCUUUACUUUUCUAGACAUCCCUGACAGCACUGCAUGUGAGAAUACAAACUGGGUUUUGAACCUGCCAGCUCCCGAGUAAAAAGAUGUUGGAUUCCACUGAUAUACAAACAGCUAAUAGUGCGGUCCAUUCAGCUACCUGUCGAAAUUUGGACACACUCAUCCACUACAUGAACAAAAGUAUUGAGCCAUGCUUCUUGAUCUUUGAAUUCAAGUGGUUUCAGUACUGUUGCCACAGGUACAGUGGGGCAAAAAAGUAUUUAUUCAGCCACCGAUUGUGCAAGUUCCCCCACAUAAAAUGAUGACAGAGGUCAGUAAUUGGCACCAGAGGUACACUUCAACUGU